rnacentral:rRNA from 1 species
UACGUAGGUGGCAAGCGUUGUCCGGAUUUACUGGGCGUAAAGAGCGCGCAGGCGGUCGUUCAAGUCGCGUGUGAAAGCCCCCGGCUCAACUGGGGAGGGUCACGCGAUACUGAUCGACUCGAAGGCAGGAGAGGGUAGUGGAAUUCCCGGUGUAGUGGUGAAAUGCGUAGAUAUCGGAAGGAACACCUGUGGCGAAAGCGGCUCACUGGACCACAACUGACGCUGAGGCACGAAAGCUAGGGGAGCAAACAGG